rnacentral:lncRNA from 1 species
AUUGUAGAUAGUGAAAUGGGUUUACAGUUAUUGUCCUGUAUUAUUGGUGUGAAAUUGAAAUCGGUACACCUAUGUUUACCAAAGUUUAACAUAAGCAUUAGCCUUUGCCCCAACAACCUCAUUUCCUAGUCACUUGCUCUAAAAAAAUUUUAAAAAACAGAUUUGUGAGGAUGUUCUUCACUCCUUUUUAUCAUAGAUGCUUCUAGAAAAAACAUAAUUACCAUCACUAGGUGAUCAGUUAAAUAUUUUAUAGUACCAACAGAGAAUGAAAUACCCUUGAGAUAUUAAAAUGAUGUAAAUCUCUUUUUUUGCACAAAAACAUGUCCAUAGUGUGUAGAUUUUUCUCCAAAAAGAGCAGAAUAUAGUUUAGCAUGAAUAGUGUCAUCCCAACAUGAAUGUAAAUACAAAAAGGAAGGAUGUCGGACAAAAUGCCGCUGAUUUUUAUUUUAUCUUUUGGACUUUUCUCUCAUUUGAAUUGUUCGUAAUCAAUAUAUCAUUUUUAUAAAAACAAAAUUUUGUUUUAACUAAACAUAUGCCAGGGGAGCGGGUGACAGUUAACUAUAGACCCUCACAGGUGGAUAAACCAGUGUGAAAUAAUUACUGGGGGGAUCUAGGUCUCACCUUUCUAACUGUCGAUAGGUUUGAUUAAUUUACCUAGAGUUGAGAACUCGAACUUAUCCCUUGGACACCAGGAUUCUGACUGCCACGACUGGACUGAGUAUCCUUCCUGUGUGCCCUCUGUGUGCCUCUCAUGAUAAUAAUUACCACACCACCAUAAGUCCCUUUCUGUCACUAGACUGUUUACUCCUACUACACAUACACAUCCUUUCUCUACCAUGUGUUUAUUUUUCCCUGCUUUAUUACCUGUUAUCUACUUUAUCUCUGUGUGCAGAAGUUUUCAUGGUAAUGAAAUGAAAUUAUCCCUUUACAGAUAGUAAAGGGAUAAUUUAACAACUUUAUUAUGCCAAUAAAUUUAACAAGUGAAAUGGACAGCUUCCUGAAAAAAAUUACAGAAAAAUUGAUGCAUAAGGGAAACAAUCUAAUUGUCCCAAUAUCUAUGAAAGAAAUUGGAUUUAUAAUCAGAAACCUUCCCACAAAGAAACCUCCAAGCCUAGGUGGCUUCGCCAGUAAGUUUAACAGGCAUUAAAGAAGUUAAAAUACCAGUCCUACAUUAUUUCAUAAAAUAGAGCAAGAAAGAACACUGCCAAACUCAUAAGGCCAAUAUAAUCCUGAUACCAAAACUUGACAAGGACAUUUUAUAAGAAAAUUACAAACCAAUAUCUCUCAUUAAUAUAAUUUUUUAAAAUUCUUAAAUAAUGGCAAAAUGAAACUUGCAAUACAGAGGAUAAGAUACCAUGACCAAGGAAAAUGAGAUGAACAUUGAAAAGUCAGUGUAAUUCACCACAUUAACAGAAUGAAAGAAAAAAUCAGAGGAGUUCUGUGGUGCAGCGGGUUAAGGAUACAGCCUUGUCACUGCAGUGGCUUGGGUUGUGCUGUGGCAUGGGUUUGACCCCUGGCCAAAAACUUCCCCUGGGCAUGGCCAAAAAAAGAGAAAAGCAAAACAAAAUUAGAUAGUCUCAAUAGAUGAUGAAAACGCAUUUGACAAAAUUCAAAACUCAUUCAUGUUAAAAACUCUCAGCAACCUGGGAAUAGAAGGGAAUUUCCUCAAUAUGAUAACAUCUUUGAAAAAUGUAAUGGUGAAUUACUAAAUCUUUUUCCCCAAGAUCAAGAAUAACAUAAUGUCUGCUCUCACCAUUUCUAUUCAGAAUGAUAUUCAAGGUCUCAAUGCAAUAAAACAACAAGAAAAAGUAUAAAGAUUGGAAAGACUAGGAUUUCCUGAUUGCAAAACUAUAUAAGACAACGCUAUAUUGCCAAAGACAUACGUAAAUAUAGAUCAGUGGACAAGAAUUCAGGCUCCAAAAAUAAACCCUUACAUUUAUGAUCAACUGUCUUUUGACAAAGGUGUGAAGAAAACUGAAUGGGGGAGAGAAUAGUUUUCUGAUAAAUGGUGCUGGGGAAAUUGGAUAUCCAUAGGGAAAAGAAUGAACUUGGACCUCUACCUCCUACUACGUACAAAUGUUGAAUCAAAGAUAUAAAUGUACAAGCUAAAACUAUAAAACUCUCAGAAAAAGACACCGUUAAGUUCACGAAAAUGGAUUAGGCAAUGGUUUCUUAGAUGUGACACCAAAAGCACAAAGGAAAAAAUAAAGUAUACUUCAUCAAAAUUUAAAAACUUCUAUGUAUCAACGAACUCUCAAGAAAGUUAAAUGACAACGUAUAGAAUGGGAGAAAAUAUUUGAAAAUCCUAUCUGAUAAGGAGUUCCCAGUGUGGCUCAGCAAUUAGUGAACCUAACUAGCACCCAUGAGGACACAGGUUCGUUCCCUGGCCUCCCUCAGUGGGUUAAGGAUCUAUUGCCCUGAGCUGUGGUAUAGGUGGCAGACGAGGCUGGGAUCCCACAUUGCUGUGACUGUGGCAUAGGCCAGCGGCUACAGUUCCAAUUGGACCCCUAGUCUGGGGACCUCCUUAUGCUGCCAGUGUGGGCCUAAAAGACAAAAUAUAUAUAUCUGAUAAGGGGCUUGUAUUCAAGAUAUAUAAAAAAACUUAAAAUUCAACAAUAAAAAGACUACCCAAUGUAAAAAUGAACAAAAGAAUUUGAAAAGAGACUUCUUAGAGUUCUCUUGUGGUGCAGUGGGUUAAGGAUCUGAUGAUGUUACUGCAGCAGCUCUGGUCAGUGCUGUGGCAUGGGUUUGAUCCUUGGCCUGGGAACUUGCACAUGCUGAGGGUGCAG